UAAAAUCAUAAAACUUUGCAGAAUUGUAAUAAAUGAUGAAUAUGAAUUACUUGUCUGUGAUAGUGUAUUAAUUUCUAGGGAAAAAAAAAAUGUUGACCAAGGUGGAAUUGAACCCGUGAUCUUUAGGCUGCCGACCGGCGUCAUUACCAACUGUGCCACUGGGAAACAGAGCAGCGGUUUGGAAAACGGGGAGAUGAACUGUCAGAUUUAGAUCGCGAUGAGAGGCGUAAAACGCCGAUUUUUGGAGUUACAAAACGUCAUGUAACUCCAAAACUAGGUGGGAUAGAAGCACAAUUCUUGUACUGGGUCAAUCAGCAGACUUUGCUGAACUUUCACUGCGAUUUUCAUUGCUCCUUUUACCUCCGUCACGGAG
ensembl:lncRNA